rnacentral:rRNA from 1 species
AUUGAACGCUGGCGGAAUGCUUUACACAUGCAAGUCGAACGGUAGAGGGGGCAACCCCUCGAGAGUGGCGAACGGGUGAGUAAUAUAUCGGAACGUGCCCAGUCGUGGGGGAUAACGUAGCGAAAGUUACGCUAAUACCGCAUACGAUCUAAGGAUGAAAGCGGGGGAUCGCAAGACCUCGCGCGAUUGGAGCGGCCGAUAUCAGAUUAGGUAGUUGGUGGGGUAAAGGCUCACCAAGCCAACGAUCUGUAGCUGGUCUGAGAGGACGACCAGCCACACCGGAACUGAGACACGGUCCAGACUCCUACGGGAGGCAGCAGUGGGGAAUUUUGGACAAUGGACGCAAGUCUGAUCCAGCCAUUCCGCGUGCAGGAUGAAGGCCCUCGGGUUGUAAACUGCUUUUGUACGGAACGAAAAGGUCUCUCUUAAUACGGGGGACUCAUGACGGUACCGUAAGAAUAAGCACCGGCUAACUACGUGCCAGCCGCCGCAGUAG